rnacentral:rRNA from 1 species
UGAGGAAUAUUGCACAAUGGAGGGAACUCUGAUGCAGCGACGCCGCGUGAACGAAGAAGGCUUUCGAGUCGUAAAGUUCUUUUAUAUGGGAAGAUAAUGACGGUACCAUAAGAAGAAGCCCCGGCUAACUACGUGCCAGCAGCCGCGGUAAUACGUAGGGGGCUAGCGUUGUCCGGAAUCACUGGGCGUAAAGGGUUCGCAGGCGGAAAUGCAAGUCAGGUGUAAAAGGCAGUAGCUUAACUACUGUAAGCAUUUGAAACUGCAUAUCUUGAGAAGAGUAGAGGUAAGUGGAAUUUUUAGUGUAGCGGUGAAAUGCGUAGAUAUUAAAAAGAAUACCGGUGGCGAAGGCGACUUACUGGGCUCAUUCUGACGCUGAGGAACGAAAGCGUGGGUAGCAAACAGG